CGAGAUUCCCCCAGUAGCGGCGAGCGAACGGGGAGGAGCCCAGAGCCUGAAUCAGUGUGUGUGUUAGUGGAAGCGUCUGGAAAGGCGCGCGAUACAGGGUGACAGCCCCGUACACAAAAAUGCACAUGCUGUGAGCUCGAUGAGUAGGGCGGGACACGUGGUAUCCUGUCUGAAUAUGGGGGGACCAUCCUCCAAGGCUAAAUACUCCUGACUGA
rnacentral:rRNA from 1 species